GAUGAACGCUGGCGGCGUGCCUAAUACAUGCAAGUCGAGCGAACGGACGAGAAGCUUGCUUCUCUGAUGUUAGCGGCGGACGGGUGAGUAACACGUGGAUAACCUACCUAUAAGACUGGGAUAACUUCGGGACACCGGAGCUAAUACCGGAUGAUAUUUUGAACCGCAUGGUUCAAAAGUGAAAGACGGUCUUGCUGUCACUUAUAGAUGGAUCCGCGCUGCAUUAGCUAGUUGGUAAGGUAACGGCUUACCAAGGCAACGAUGCAUAGCCGACCUGAGAGGGUGAUCGGCCACCCGGGAACUGAGACAGGGUCCAGACUACUACGGGAGGCAGCAGUAGGGAACCGUCCGCAAUGGGCGAGAGCCUGACGGAGCGACGCCGCGUGAGUGAUGAAGGUCUUCGGAUCGUAAAACUCUGUUAUUAGGGAAGAACAGAUGUGGAAGGAACUGUGCACAUCUUGACGGUACCUAAUCAGAAAGCAACGGCUAACUACGUG
rnacentral:rRNA from 1 species